AUUUCAUUACUUUCAUUCUGCCAUGGCCAACCUACUUGUGUUUACUAUUAUCACGCUGUUUCUUCUCCGCUUCUGCUGCGGAUGUAUUGAGAGAGAAGCCCAUGCUCUUCUGCUCUUCAAAGCCGGCGUAAAUGACUCUGCAGGUGUACUGAGUUCGUGGGAGAAAGAAAGAGAUUGCUGCCUCUGGUACGGCAUAUCCUGUGACAACACCACUCAUCAUGUAGUUGCUGUUAAUGUUACAGGAUUCUCUCUCCCAACUGAAAUGGAGGGCAUCAUAUCUGGGAGCUUGUGCACCCUCACUUUUGUUGCAACCUUAAACCUAUCUGGACUGGGAUUGACAGGUACUAUUCCUCCCUGCUUCACAAAUCUCUCUCUUCUUGCACAACUAGAUUUAUAUUAUAAUAGAUUGAGUGGGAAUAUUCCUCCUACCCUGUCUAAUCUCUCUUCUCUAAUUUAUCUAGAUCUUUCUUCUAAUCAACUCACAGGUAGCAUUCCCUCCUCUCUCUCCAAUCUCUCUUCUCUAAUUUAUCUAGAUCUUUGUUCUAAUCAACUCACAGGAAGCAUUCCUUCCUCUCUCUCCAAUCUUUCUUCUCUAACUAAACUAUAUCUUUGUCAUAACGAACUCACAGGCAGCAUUCCCUGCUCUCUCUCUCAUCUCUAUUCUUUAACUAAACUACGGCUUGCUUAUAAUCAACUCACAGGAAGCAUUCCCUCCUCUCUCUCCAAUCUCUCUUCUCUAACUGAACUAUAUCUUGCUAAUAAUCACUUGACUGGUUGUAUCCCAGAUUCCUUGGGCAAUCUCUCUUUACUAGAGGUGAUGAUUCUUUCAGGCAACCAGCUGAAUGGAACUCUUCCCCCCUCCUUUUCAAGCCUUUCCUCCCUUACUUACCUUAGUGCUUCUAGGAAUUCAUUCAGCCAGGGUAUUGCUUCCUCAACACUACCCUCCAUGCUUAAGUUUCUCCAUCUCUCACUAAACAACCAUCAGAUAAUUUCAGAGCUUUUCUUUCAUAACCUUAGCAAAUUAUCAGAUUUGGCCUUAUCCAAUUGUGCACUUAACAACAGUCCCACAUGGAUUCCCUCAUUUCAGUUAACACGGUUGCAUUUGACAUCAUGCAAGGUGGUGGAUGGUCAAAUCCCCUCAUGGAUUUCAACUCAAUUCUCACUUGAAGAGUUGCAAAUAGCUGACAGCAAUCUUGUUGGAGAAAUUCCCUCUUGGUUACAGGAUAUGAGACUACGCUACAUCAAUCUCACAACAAAUCAUCUGCAUGGUGAUCUUUUGCUCAAUACUUCAGCUUGGAAGGCAAUAAAGGUUGUAGACAUGUCUAACAAUGCAUUGUUUGGACAGAUACCACCAAUUUGGCCACCUCAUAUACAAUUUUUGUUGCUCAAUGAUAAUUGGCUAACGGGAAAUAUUCCCCCAAGCAUGCAGGUUACCUCUUCAUUGCAAGUGUUAAACUUAGAAAAUAAUCAUUUGAAUGGAAAAAUCCCUUCAAGCAUAGCCAACUUUUCCUCACUUCAAAUUUUGAAUUUGGGGAAUAAUAAUUUUGGGGGUAUGAUACCAUCUGAGUUUGGUCAGCUAAGUCAACUACAAUCACUAGUGCUAAAGGAUAACCAGUUGAGCGGGGCAUUCCCUCCUUCAAUAUCAAAUUGCAGAAAAUUACUUUUUCUAGAUAUCGGGCAAAACCUAUUGAAAGGCCAAAUUCCAAAUUCAAUAGGAAACCUUUUACAUUUGCAAGUGUUAGCGGCCAGAAAAAAUAAUUUUGAAGGUAGCAUUCCUACAGAAAUUGGGCAGCUGAAGCACCUCCAAAUCUUGGACCUUUCUUCAAAUCAUCUAUCUGGGUCUAUACCACACAAUAUUUUCAAUUUGCAAGCAAUGUUGAUAGAAUCAAAAGAGGGAUUUAUCAGGGUUCAAAAGUAUCGAUUUAUUAGUAAAAAGUAUACAAGUUUUAUACAAGUGAUACCAAUCAUGUAUGAGGAUGGAUUAAAUAUGAAUUCUAAAGGCAGAGAUGAGCACUAUCCAUAUAUUUUUUCCACCAUGGCAGCCAUUGAUCUCUCCAACAAUCAAUUGAGUGGUAAUAUUCCUUCUGAAUUAGGAAAGUUGAAAGGCCUGAUGCUUCUCAACCUAUCCAUGAAUAAUCUCAAUGGAACAAUUCCAAAUAGUAUUGUGCAAGUUAGUCAACUAGAAUCAUUAGACCUUUCUACAAAUCAAUUUUCUGGACAAAUUCCAUGGGAGCUUGGAUCUUUGAGCUACUUGCAAGUCCUAAACUUAUCAAAUAACAACCUUUCAGGUAGAAUACCACAAGGAGGACACAUGACAACAUUUGCAAAUUCUUCAUAUGAAAGAAAUCCAAGUUUAUGGGGAUGUCCACUUCGAAGGAAUUGCUCUUGGCCAGAUUUUGCUCCUGCUCCUCCUUCCAUUUAUGCACUUGCCAAUGAAGAAGAACAAAUUGAGGAAAGUUUGUGGUAUUGGAUUGGAGUGGGACUGGCAUAUGGUGUUGGUUUUGGAGCUGUGGUGCUAUCUAUUGUACUAAGAAAGAAGUGGAGAGAAAAAUACUUUCAUGGUGUUGAUAUGGUGUUGAAAUAUUUUUUUCCAUGGCUGCACAAUUUGAAAAUAUGAAAAGUUUGUUCAAAUCUUGGAGUACUUAACUUGAAGCUUUUUAGUGGUGCAAUAAGAGGACAGUUCAUGAUCGUGAACACAACCAUGAUGAUGACUCCUCAUGUGGCUUGAAUCUUGUUACAUAUAUUUUUGUUUAAGUGCAUGGAUGGGUAUAGCCAAUAUCAAUUUUUAUUUUAAUUUUUAAAAUAGUGGCCUGUAGCCACUUCACUACUUUUUAGUCUUUUGUCCAUAUCAAAACUUUUAG